CCUUAAUAAGUGGCCCCAGGAAAGGCAAGCCCCAAGCUUGCCCAAUUGGGCAGAAGGAUCCUCCUCGGAUCAUCACCGCUGAGUUGCAAACGAAGAAUGGGUGCUGCAAUCAGAGAAUCACAGAACUGUUUGGGCCAGAAAAUGCCUCUACGAUUGAGUCUGCUGCUAUUUCAUGUCCCUGAGCAUCGCUGCUGUGGUUUGGAUUUGCACCCCAACAAAUUGGAAAUUUACCCCUGGAGUAAAUCUGCCACAUUCACUCAGAAUUUUGGAAGCUAAAUAUUUACAAAGGUUGAUUAUAAAUAAAGGUAUGAAAGGGGUUAGACACA